rnacentral:rRNA from 1 species
GGGAUUGAAGCUUGCUUCAAUUGCCGGCGACCGGCGCACGGGUGCGUAACGCGUAUGUAACCUACCUAUAACAGGGGCAUAACACUGAGAAAUUGGUACUAAUUCCCCAUAAUAUUCGGAGAGGCAUCUCUCCGGGUUGAAAACUCCGGUGGUUAUAGAUGGACAUGCGUUGUAUUAGCUAGUUGGUGAGGUAACGGCUCACCAAGGCAACGAUACAUAGGGGGACUGAGAGGUUAACCCCCCACACUGGUACUGAGACACGGACCAGACUCCUACGGGAGGCAGCAGUGAGGAAUAUUGGUCAAUGGACGCAAGCCUGAACCAGCCAUGCCGGCGUGCAGGAAGACGCCUCUAUGAGUUGUAAACUGCUUUUGUACGAGGGUAAACUCACCUACGUGUAGGUGACUGAAAGUAUCGUACGAAUAAGGAUCGGCUAACUCCGUGCCAGCAGCCGCGGUAAUACGGAGGAUUCAAGCGUUAUCCGGAUUUAUUGGGUUUAAAGGGUGCGUAGGCGGUUUGAUAAGUUAGAGGUGAAAUCCCGGGGCUUAACUCCGGAACUGCCUCUAAUACUGUUAGACUAGAGAGUAGUUGCGGUAGGCGGAAUGUAUGGUGUAGCGGUGA